CAGCCCUCCCCUGCUCACUGCUGUGGCUGAUGGAGGAGGAGCAUGUGGUACAGAGACAUGCUCCUCCUCCAUCAGCCACAGCAGUGAGAGGAGCAG
rnacentral:miRNA from 1 species